ACUCGAGUGACGAACGGGUGAGUAACACGUGGGUGAUCUGCCCUGCACUUCGGGAUAAGCCUGGGAAACUGGGUCUAAUACCGGAUAGGAGCCAUUUUUAGUGUGAUGGUUGGAAAGUUUUUCGGUGUAGGAUGAGCUCGCGGCCUAUCAGCUUGUUGGUGGGGUAAUGGCCUACCAAGGCGGCGACGGGUAGCCGGCCUGAGAGGGUGGACGGCCACAUUGGGACUGAGAUACGGCCCAG
rnacentral:rRNA from 1 species